GACAUAGGUGGCAAACGUUAUCCGGAAUUAUUGGGCGUAAAGAGUGCGUAGGUGGUUUAAUAAGUUACUGGUGGGAAAUUGGGGCUCAACCCCAUGGAAGUCAGUGAUACUAUUAAUCUAGAGGACCGGAGAGGUUAACGGAAUUCUAUGUGUAGCGGUAAAAUGCUCAAAUAUAUAGAGGAACACCAAGUGGCGAAGGCAGUUAACUAUUCGGCUCCUGACGUUGAGGCACGAAAGCGUGGGGAGCAAGACGG
rnacentral:rRNA from 1 species